CCUAUUCCGGGGGUUAGGCUCGCGCAGAGGAGGCUCUGUUCUGGUGUUCCAAGGCCUCCACAUGGCUUUCUGUGGAUGGGAUUUGUCAGCAGUUCUCCUUGCCUGAGAACAACCAGCUCUCUCUCUUCUCAGUCAACACUCUGUGGAAUAUCAAUGAAAGGAUGCUGCGAUCUUGGAGAAAAAGUAGAAGUGCAGAGUGAGUGCCCAGCACAGCCCUAAGCUGCUUCUCCACCUCACAGUUUUUGGUGAGUUCCUACACAAAGUUUGGAGCAGAGAAGCUGGAGUUGAUGUCAUAGGUGCCUCCUCUCUAGGAGCUUAGUCUGUCAGGGGAGAUGGGCACAUGCAGACCUUCGAUGCCCUAUGGUGAGUGCUGUAACUCAGACAUGGACAGAACACCCUGGUGGUUUCUAUGUUUACCAGAUCAUAAGAACUGCCUAGAACACAUUCCAGAACUAACAAAGGCCUAGGAAUCUAGGCUUUUAACAAGAACCAUAAGUCAGGGGUUAGCAGACUUGUUUCUGUAAAUGGUCAGAUAGUAAAUGUUUUAGAUUUUGCCAGCCAUUCAAUCUCUGUUGCAACCACUCAGUUCUGUCAUUGUAGCACAAAACAUCCAUAGACAAAAAUAUAAAUGAUUGUGGCUCAUUUACAAAGACAGAGAGCAGGUCAGAUUUGGCAACCCCGGUCCUAAGUGAGUCUCAUAAUUCGUGAGGGGCGGGCAUCUUUGUGAUUCCUGAUGGCUGGAGGCUUUCUUAACAAACAUAAGUCUUGCUAAUUAAAUCAGGCAGUGUCCUAAAUGCUUUAUGGAUACUGACUCAUUUAAUCAUUAGGACAUCAUUUCAUAUGUGGGGGAAUGAGACACAAGGACUAGUAAAUUGUGACAAUGGGAUUCUGUUUAAACCAGGCAUUUUGGCUCAUUUCAGUACUUAGGUUUUUUGUUUUGUUUCUUUUUGUUUGUUUUAUUUUUUAAACACCAGCAUUCUCCUGCCUUUGGUGGACACUGUCCCAGAGGACACACUUAUGCUGACAAGAUUGUACUAGGCAGUGGAAAGAAAAGUGUUCUGGACAGUAGUUAAGGGAACAAAGUUCUCCAUGUCAUGAAAUCAAACGGAGUGGGUAGGGUAUGAGAAGGAGCUGAGAGGGAGAUGAAGGUAGAAAGUAGAAAAGAGGGUUUAGAUGCUAAAGAGCCUUGACUGGAAGGCUAGGUCUUUGCCAUUCACCAGUGGAAAAAAAUUGGGGAGAUUGGGAUAGAGAGUGACUUCAACGAGCUGGACUCCCUCUGUAGAGUUGAGGUUCAUGCUUCUCCCCCAUGCACAUUCACUCUCUCUAAUACACAUACGCAGACACACACAUUUCUCUCAGGCAAGAAGGAACCAAAGUUUGUCUGAUGUCUCCUGAGCAGCUUCAGAACACCUUUCCCUGGAUAAACACAGAGGGAGUGGUCCUGGUGUCUUAUGGUGAGGCUCAUCUGCAAAAAGGGGGGAUAGCUUUCUCCUACAGGUAGGAACUGAGGAGCUUCUUGGGUUGGAAGUCUCAUAUGCCAUGGUUCUGCUAAAGGACAACUACUUCCUCCUGAGAAACGGCUCAUCCCAGGCCAUGCUACUUCUUCUUUCAGCCUUAUUGGACUCUGGUCCUAGAAGAAUGUUAGAGGGAGGGUCAGGAAAUAGACUAGGAAAGGAUGGACCUCAGAUCCUUUUUGGGAGCUUUUCAGGAGUUUUCUGUUCUUCAUCUUAGGGAUAGAGGACAAAGGCUGGUUUGACCCUUGUUCUCUCCUCCAGGGGCUUUGGCAAAAGUUGUUGUCUACCAGAGAGAGGUGAUACAUCAGCCCAAAGCCACAUACCUUCUGCUAAUGUCCUCUAGUUAGCAGGACAAGGCCUAGAUGGGCCCCAUCUUCUCACUCAUGGGCUAAGAAAGGUUGAUGGGGGAGAGGGCUAAUCCAUGGCAACCCAGCUCUGACUGCUUUGUGACUUAUAUAACCUGCUUGACAAUUCCAGCACUGCCCAGACCCUUGUAUGUAUGGCUAAGUUCAUCCCACUUUCCUGAUCUCUGCUUCAGUGUCAUGGAAAAGUGUUCAUCCUUCUAGCCUUUUUUUCCUUAAGAAACCAGUGGGAUUCCCAUUUCCCUCCUCAGAGCCUCAAGGGCUUUGGGUAUGGGAUACUGGGGAUUGUACCCAGGGCCUUGUGUAUGCUAAGCACGUACUCUCCCACUGAGUUACACCCCCCCAAAUCCUAAGGGCUCAUUUUUUUCUUUUCUACGGGUUUUAUCAUUUCAUCUAGUUCAUGGAGAUCUCAAGUGGAGAAGAGAUGAUCUUGAAAACAAUCUGUGAAUUCUUUUCACACGUAAGUCCCUAGUCCCAUUUCUUAUCCACUAUGGAGAGGCAAGAAAGGUGUACUGACUGUCCUGACGUUGGUCUUCUUCUCCUCCCUUUCCAGUAUGAGUAAAGUAAGAUUAGGAGGCUGUUACCUCUCUUCCUGUCAAGUGAGUGGCCCAGCCCUCCCUCCCAUCAUCCUCUGGUACCUACAGGUGAAGAUGGACAACAGCCUGGAGCACCAGCCAGUGGACUGUGCCAUAGUAAUCAAUGCCAGAAAAGCUUGGUCUGGGCAAAUUGCAGAGCUGGCUGGUAUUGGGAAGGGGCCGCCUGGUACGCUGAAGGGCACUAAGCUACCUGUGGAGCUGCAGAAAAGGUAGCUUCCCUUGGGGAAACUUGGGAAGUUGGUGAGAGAAAGAAAUGAAUAAAAGUUUGGGGUGUGUGUAUAAUUUAAUCAGAAAAGGAGAGACAUACUAAUAGUAAUGGUAACCACGAUCCAACUGGGAAGGAAGUGUGGCUACAAGAACUGCUUUUUCUGAGUUCUUCUUAUGUGUUUCAUCCUAUGCCUUAUCCUGGCUUCUUGUCCACCAGCUGCCAUCUAAACUAUUUCAACUUUCCUAAUCAAUGGUCUUAUUGCCCCAACUCUCACUUACCCAACCCACUGCUACCAGCUUUAUCUUCCUGAAUCAUUGGCAAAUGUAAGCUGAGUUUGGUGGCAUACAUCUAUAAUCCUAGCACUGGGGAGGCUGAAGCAGAAGGAUCAAGAGUUCAAGGCCAGUAUGGGCUACAUAUUAGACCCUGUCUCAAAAUCAAAACAAAAGGGCAAACAUGUUGUCCCACCGCCAGUCUUUAAAUGGAUUUUGGUUUCCUGCAAAGCUGGCAUUCUGGUUAUCAAUGUCUUCUCCAGUUUAGCUGCAAACCACCUCACCAACAUUAUCCAGCCUCUUCACUCCUCUAUGCCACCUUCAA